rnacentral:rRNA from 1 species
AUUGAACGCUGGCGGAAUGCUUACACAUGCAAGUCGAACGGCAGCACGGGGCAACCUGGUGGCGAGUGGCGAACGGGUGAGUAAUACAUCGGAACGUGCCCAAUCGUGGGGGAUAACGUAGCGAAAGUUACGCUAAUACCGCAUACGAACUACGGAUGAAAGCGGGGGAUCGCAAGACCUCGCGCGAAUGGAGCGGCCGAUGUCAGAUUAGGUAGUUGGUGGGGUAAAGGCUCACCAAGCCAACGAUCUGUAGCUGGUCUGAGAGGACGACCAGCCACACUGGGACUGAGACACGGCCCAGACUCCUACGGGAGGCAGCAGUGGGGAAUUUUGGACAAUGGGCGCAAGCCUGAUCCAGCCAUUCCGCGUGCAGGAUGAAGGCCUUCGGGUUGUAAACUGCUUUUGUACGGAACGAAACGGUUCUCUCUAAUACAGGGGGCUAAUGACGGUACCGUAAGAAUAAGCACCGGCUAACUACGUGCCAGCCGCCGCGGUAACAC